rnacentral:rRNA from 1 species
CCCUUAGAUGUUCUGGGCGGCCCGCGCACUACAAUGGCGUGUGCAGCGAGUGCCGAAGUAGAGUUUUCCGAGGUAUUCUUGCAAUGCUCGUUUUGAUGGGGAUAGACCCUUGCAACUGUUGGUUUUGAACGAGGAAUUCCUUGUAAGCAUGGUUUAUCAUCCGACGCUGAAUGCGUCCCUGCCCUUUGUACACACCGCCCGUCGCUCCUACCGAUGAGUCGUCCGGUGAAGUUCGUGGACCUCGUGAUCGCGGAUCACUGGGGGAAGCAAAAUGAACCUCGCGGUUUAGAGGAAGGAGAAGUCGUAACA